CUACGGGGGGCAGCAGUAAGGAAUAUUGCGCAAUGGAGGCAACUCUGACGCAGCCAUGCCGCGUGCAGGAAGAAGGCCUUAUGGGUCGUAAACUGCUUUUAUUUAGGAAUAAACCCCCGAACGUGUUCGGGGCUGAAGGUACUAAACGAAUAAGCACCGGCUAACUCCGUGCCAGCAGGCCGCGGUAAUACGGAGGGUGCAAGCGUUAUCCGGAUUUAUUGGGUUUAAAGGGUGCGCAGGCGGGCUAUUAAGUCAGUGGUGAAAUCCCGGGGCUCAACUCCGGAACUGCCAUUGAUACUGAUAGGCUUGAGUUUGGUUGAAGUGGGCGGAAUGUAGCAUGUAGCGGUGACAUGCAUAGAUAUGCUACAGAACACCAAUCGCGAAGGCAGCUCACUAAGCCAAAACUGACGCUCAUGCACGAAAGCGUGGGGAUCAAACAGGAUUAGAUACCCCGGUAGUC
rnacentral:rRNA from 1 species